GCUGGCGGCGUGCCUAACACAUGCAAGUCGAACGAGAAAGUGGAGCAAUCCAUGAGUAAAGUGGCGACCGGGUGAGUAACACGUGACUAACCUACCUUCGAGUGGGGGAUAACCUCGGGAAACCGGGGCUAAUACCGCAUAAUGCCUUUGGGUUAAAGGAGCAAUUCGCUUGAGGAGGGGGUCGCGGCCGAUUAGGUAGUUGGCGGGGUAACGGCCCACCAAGCCUGUGAUCGGUAGCCGGCCUGAGAGGGCGCACGGCCACACUGGAACUGAAACACGGUCCAGACUCCUACGGGAGGCAGCAGUGGGGAAUUUUGCGCAAUGGGGGAAACCCUGACGCAGCAACGCCGCGUGGAGGAUGAAGUCCUUUGGGACGUAAACUCCUUUCGACCGGGACGAUUAUGACGGUACCGGUGGAAGAAGCCCCGGCUAACUUCGUGCCAGCAGCCGCGGUAAUACGAGGGGGGCGAGCGUUGUUCGGAAUUAUUGGGCGUAAAGGGCGCGUAGGCGGUGCGGUAAGUCACCUGUGAAACCUCUGGGCUUAACUUAUAGCCUGCAGGCGAAACUGCCGUGCUGGAGUGUGG
rnacentral:rRNA from 1 species